CUGUUCUUCCAAGCCACCGUACCAACUUUCACUUCUUUCAACUUGCUGCUUCAGAGAGAGCAGUCAUCAAUAUUUUUGUUACAUGAUGAGAUGGUGAAAUUCGUACGCAAGCUAUGUUCCAAGUUUAUGGUUCCAGCAGCUCUGCAGUGCCAUGAGGAGCCUUGUGAAAUUGCCUUUGAAGAAAAGGCAAACCAUUUACCAGGGCUAAACUUAACAGAUUACUCGUCGAGGGUGACAUCACACCACAGCAGGUGGAUUCAUUCCAUGAAGCUGUGUUGUGUUUCCUGACAAGUGCUGUGGACUAUGCACUUAAGAAGCUGCCACUGGAAGAGCCACUGAUCAA